rnacentral:rRNA from 1 species
UACGUAGGGUCCGAGCGUUGUUCGGAAUUAUUGGGCGUAAAGGGCGCGUAGGCGGUGUGGUAAGUCUGUUGUGAAACCUCCAGGCUCAACUUGGAGCUUGCAUCAGAAACUGCCGUGCUAGAGUGUGGGAGAGGAGAGUGGAAUUCCUGGUGUAGCGGUGAAAUGCGUAGAUAUCAGGAGGAACACCGGUGGCGAAAGCGGCUCUCUGGACCACAACUGACGCUGAGGCGCGAAAGCUAGGGGAGCAAACAGG